rnacentral:siRNA from 1 species
UCCAGUGGGGUGCUUAUAUGU